rnacentral:tRNA from 1 species
GGAGAGGUGGCAGAGUGGUCGAAUGCGCUGGUUUGCUAAACCGGUGUAGGGACUAAUACCCCUACCGUGGGUUCAAAUCCCAUCCUCUCCG